CCAUCUGGCAACAGUGUUUCUCUGCGUUGGCCUGAGACGCCGGCAUAAACUAGUGGGACAACAAGCUAUAGGACAAGCAGUAUAAAGAAUAGAUGGAUGGACUUCUCAUUUUGCUCAUGUCUUCAUUCAGUUUCUCUUGUAAGGACUUCAGUGCUGUAUUGAGCUCCUCCUGCACCAGACACCAGAGAUUUAUGUAUUAUUGUGAAUGACUCACACAAGUUUUUUAACACAAGAUUAUUUGGAGGAUCAUCUCUUGAGGAUCUUCUCCUGCAGACAGGACACUCCUGGGUAUUCUUGGUUCUCCAGAACUGUUGAAGACACUCUUUACAGAAACUGUGAUUACAUGAUAGAAGAACAGGAUCCUUUAAGAUGUCAAAACACAUGGGACAAGAAAAAUCAUCUACAGAUAGUGAAUCCAUUUUCACCGUUUAAACUUCAGAAAUCUGACUUUACGUUCACUUUCUGAACGAGGUUGCAAAAAGAUCACAAAGAUCUGUUAUCUGUUCAGAAACAAACUUCUCAAAAAUCCUUCUUGAAAAAGUUUUUCUUUGUUCUCCACUGAGUCUUUUGUACUUUUGUCAAGACACUAAGAGAGUCAAUAAGACAGAAAUGAGAAAUAAUAAGACAAUUGCUUCCUGGUAAGUGUUCUAAGAGGGUGGAGUUUCUGCACCUGAAUCAUCUUGUCUCGUGUUUUUUAAUUGUUUGUCUGCCUUAUUUAAUGCUGGAAGGUGAUUUAAAAUGUUAAUGAUUAUCAA